CUAAACCAGGACUAAACCAGGACUAAACCAGGACUAAACCAGGACUAAACCAGGACCAAACCAGGUCUAAACCUGGACUAAACCAGGACUAAACCCGGACUAAACCAGGACUAAACCAGGACUAAACCAGGACUAAACCCGGACUAAACCCGGACUAAACCAGGACUAAACCAGGACUAAACCAGGACUAAACCCGGACUAAACCCAGACUAAACCAGGACCAAACCAGGACCAAACCAGGACUAAACCAGGACUAAACCAGGACUAAACCAGGACUAAACCAGGACCAAACCAGGACCAAACCAGGACCAAACCAGGUCUAAACCAGGUCUAAACCAGGACUAAACCAGGACUAAACCAGGACUAAACCAGGUCUAAACCAGGUCUAAACCAGGACUAAACCAGGACUAAUCCAGGACUAAACCAGGACUAAACCAGGACUAAACCAGGACCAAACCAGGACCAAACCAGGACUAAACCAGGUCUAAACCAGGUCUAAACCAGGACUAAACCAGGACUAAACCAGGUUUAAACCAGGACUAAA
ensembl:lncRNA